rnacentral:snRNA from 1 species
AUACUUACCUGGUACUGGGGCCUCAUUGGUAACUGAGAGUGAGCCGGGGAGGCGCGGGCAUUGCACUGCGCUCGCGUUGACCCCUGCCACUACCCCAAACUGGGGCAGACGGGGCAUGAAAAUUGC